CCCGCUGAAUUUAAGCAUAUUAAUAAGCGGAGGAAAAGAAACUAACAAGGAUUCCCUCAGUAACGGCGAGUGAAGCGGGAAGAGCUCAAAUUUGAAAUCUCCGGUGCUUGCAUCGGCGAGUUGUAGUUGCGAGAAGCACUUUCUAGGUGGAUCGGCGGUGCCUAAGUUGCUUGGAACAGCACGUCGCAGAGGGUGACAACCCCGUCUGUGGCGCCGCCGGCCGCUGACGAUGUGCUUUCGAAGAGUCGGGUUGUUUGGGAAUGCAGCCCAAAAUGGGUGGUAAACUCCAUCUAAAGCUAAAUACUGGCGUGAGACCGAUAGCGAACAAGUACCGUGAGGGAAAGAUGAAAAGAACUUUGAAAAGAGAGUUAAAAAGUACGUGAAACCGUCGGAAGGGAAACGAAUGGACUCAGSAAUGCGCCCUCUGAGAUUCAGCCGCGUGGGUGGCGUCGGCGCGGGGUUUGCGGAUCUGAAUGGACCGCGGCCCGGCGCUCGCUGCUCCCCGCCGUCGCACUUCUCUGGGGCGCGCGUCAACGUGGGUUGGGACUGGGUCUGAAAGGUGCCGGGAAGGUAGGUGUGGGCCUUCGGGUCCGUUCUGUUACAGCCCGGUUCUCUCAUGGCUCGGGCCCGACCGAGGAGCAGACRGGGCAUGCCUCCUGUGGCUAGGGUCCCGUCCUUCCGGCCGGCUGUCCAGUGUGGUGGACUGCUUGCAGUGCUCUGCGACGGCUGCCGGUCGUUGGGGUGGUGAUCUCGUACCAUGCCCUUAGGAUGUUGGCGGUCAUAUGGGUGC
rnacentral:rRNA from 1 species